rnacentral:rRNA from 1 species
CCUACGGGCGGCUGCAGUAGGGAAUAUUGCUCAAUGGGGGAAACCCUGAAGCAGCAACGCCGCGUGGAGGAUGAAGGUUUUCGGAUUGUAAACUCCUGUUGUUAGAGAAGAUAAUGACGGUAUCUAACGAAUAAGCACCGGCUAACUCAGUGCCAGCAGCCGCGGUAAUACGGAGGGUGCAAGCGUUACCCGGAAUCACUGGGCGGAAAGAGCGCGGAGGCGGGAAAGAAAGUCGGUUGUGAAAUCUUAUGGUUAAACAUUGGAACUGCAUUGGAAAUUGUUAUUGUGGAGUGGGGGGGGGUAGGUUGAAUUUCUGGUUUAGGGGUUAAAACC